CACAAACGUAUAAUAUACUGUGAAAAAUUGGGAAUAUUAUCGUUUACAUUUAAAAUAAUUGUAAAGUGAGAAAAUAUUUAUUGAAAAUGAUUUUGUGAAUUUAUGAGUCCUGUAUCAAUUUUGUGAAAUGAUGGAGCUUAAUAUUAAAGGAUAAUUCACAGUUGGCAUCUUUGAAAUUAUAAUUAAUAGACUUUUUCCAGGAGGAUAAUAGGGGGGAAAUUAUUUUAAUGUUAUAAGUAAUACUAAUAUUUGGUUUUAAGUGAGUGAUUUCGAGAGGUGACAAUAAUUAAUACAUCAUUACUUGAUCAAGUGAUUUUUGACACCUAAAGGUAAACGAACCUUUAACAAAGUGAGUACAUUUCUAAACAAAGACAUUCUUACCAGGGAUUUAAUUAUUUCAUUGAUAAAAGUAUCUGUUUACAUUGUGGAAUUUUAAUGUGACUGGAGACUGUAAGAGACUAAGAGUGCCUUUAAUGGGGAGAUGGAGUAUCUAUAGUAUUAAUACCAAAUAGGUGGAGAACAUUGAUAGCAUCAGACAUUUUUGGUGUGAGAAGUGGAUAUAAGUGUAAAAUUUGGAUAUAUAAGAUUUAAAAUUUCAGAAAUAAUUAUUUUUGAAGAUUGAGGAUUUUGAAAAAAAUUUAAACUCAGAAUUUGGUGUGAUUAAAAAAAAAAAGGAAUUUUAUUAGAUGUCAAAUAAUUGGAAAAAAUUGGAAAAUCAAAAUGCAGCGUUUGAGAGACGAGAGCAGGUUAACCGACUUACACCAUUCUCCCAGCAUGAAACAGAAUCGGUUAAGAAUAUUCAAAGGUGUAAAACGUUCUGUCACAUUCAAUUUAGGACAAAAUUUACCAGUCUCUGCUCCAAGAAGAGGAAGAAGUAUUGGCAUUACAAGACAUUCCAGUUUUCUUGGUGGAGGAUUUGGUCGAAAGGAUCCACUCUUCAUGACUCGUAAGGAUCCAUCCCAGAUUUAUCAUAAUGUUCCCUUGGAAAACCUUAAUGGACCCCACAGAGUGUCAUCUCAACCCGUAGUGGACCCCAACCAUCAUCAGAUUUUUGUUACCAGAAGUCAUUCAUUUGCUGGCAUGGCCAGUCGAUCUAGUCAGCUAAUGGAAUCUCCCUUAGGAACCCCUGUAUUAGGGGCUACAUAUAGGAGUAAGACACAACAUAAAGUUCCGCAUUCUCCGAGGCCAAGAUCUGGAGCCAAUUACAGAAAGUCACCAAAAGUACCAAAGAUUCCACGACCUAAUUGGACGACCUUGAUGUUUGAGAGCGUGAAAAAAGGAAUCAGGGAGUUUAUAGAAGCUACUAAAGACGAUAUAGACCAGUUAUGUGCCAGAGGUGUCGAGCAAGCAACGUCUACUGCUCAGGGUAAAUUAUUGGAAACAGAUAAGCAAAUUAAAGCAGCAGAGAGAUACCUUAAAAGAUUAGAGUUUCAUCUGUCCAAGAUUGAAGAAUUACAUGAUUGUUAUAUGGUACAACAACAACUAAGAGAAGGUACCAGAAAUUUACAGAAGGCUUAUACCACAUCACCAACGAGUCAAAAAGACACACUUAGUAAUGUUAAAUAUGGCAUGUUAGAAUGUAUACAGACAAUGUGUGCCAUAGAAGCUCAGUUAGAGGCUAUGAUGGGAACAUUCCAUUGCAGAAUUAAAGGUAUGGCAGGCUUUGCUAGGCUAUGUCCAGGAGACGUGUUUGAUAUUACUCUGCGACAUGGAUCACAGAAGUGGCGCUCACGUGGCAGAGUGGAAAAAACGGGAAACCAGAGAUGGGAGAACCCAGAAUAUACAUUUAAAUCUGUCAUUGGGGAUGGGCUUCAUAUAAAGGGAGUAGAAGUAAGAAGCUUUAAGUCUGUGAUAUUAGGACAAAAAACAUGUGAGACGAAGGAUUUGUUCUCUUGUAAUCCACAGUUAAUGACAGUCAGCAUCAAUACCAAUGGUUCUCUUAAACUCAGUGUAAUCAUCACAUGGAAUCCUUUAGAAGGUGUGGAGGAAGCAAUGUCAUAUUUCGAUGUCCCCAGCCGACCACAAUCUACUCCAAGGAAGAGACCCGUAUCUGUGUUGGCUCUGAAUGGAGAACUGAGUGGCAGUUACUCAAGUUUAUCAUCAGACGACAGCAGACGCCAUUCUACACCACCAAAUCUAACCACAACCAAAGACGAUAACUUUAUUUUACGUACGAGUGGCAAUCAUAGUAGUUUCUCAUCACCGUACCGUACAGUUCAUUCUGACAAUUCUUUUAACCUACAAAGAGACUCGGGAUUUUCUAGUGUUAUACAUGUACCUAGUGCUAAUUCACCUUUAGGAAUGAAACGCCAUGCGCCACCGUUACCUGUGAUGGAAAUUCCAGAGAUUACUACAAAUAACAAUAUUGACAUUGUGAAACCAAUGGCAGCGCCCUCUAUAUCACCCUUAGUGACAUCCUCGCCAGCAUCAUCAUUAUUAUCAUCGUGGUAUUCACAUUUACAUUUCCCAGUGGCAUUAGGUCACACUGUGACAUUGUCAAAAGAUGAACCAACCAAUGUAGAGGACGUGUUACACAGUCUAAUGACAACGUUAGAGGAUUACCAUGGACAGUAUAGGGAGUUAGAAAAACUGGAAGAUGUUGUUGUCAUGUUAGAACAAAUAUUACGAAAACAUUCAAGAUGCAGUUCCAGAUCUUCUAGUAUAAGUAUUUCUAUAGAAAGUGCUUUGGGUGCGUUUGAUUUUCUGAAUACAGAAGAAGAGAAUGGCGAUACAGAAAAUCAUCAUGAAGCUUCUGUAUUUGACCAUGUCAUGUCUAGUCCAGAUUCUACUGCCAAAACUGCUGACUCAGGGAUUGAGUCAUUAGCAAAACGCCUAAGUGAAGACACACAACUUGGAUCCAGUUUAGGUUCCAGUCCGUUGCCACCGACUACAGAGAAUGACCAAGUGGAUCAUGCCUUAGUGUAUCAUUUAGUUUAUUGUGAGAGAUUACUAGAGAGCCUUGGUGUUUAUGGUCCAUUAAAAUGCAGGGAAAUCUAUGCUUUAGAUAGACUACAGAAACAGGCAGAUAUAAUAGAUAGUUUGAUAAAGAUCUCAGAGAACGGCUCAGAUAUUGAUUUGUUGUCUGUGAUGUCCAGUUUAACUGAAGAUAAAAGUUUACGAGAGUUUUGGGCCAGGUGUACUGAUCAAAAUCUCCUGUAUAUACAGCCUGAAAAACUGGUUACCUGUUUAGAUCAAAAGUAUGGUGCUCAGCUACGUAGUAAAUACGAGAGAGACCCAAAGAGAGUGUUACGUCAUUUAGUAAUGAGGUUACUGGAUGUCCCAAAUUAUGACCCUGAAACUAUAAAGCCCACCUGUAUAGUAACGCUUCACCAGUUCAUGACCUAUUUUAAAGAGGAAGGUGGUCUACAACAUGUUGAUGCAGUAGCCAGUGAAAUUAACAUGAUUGAGAAGUUAUGUUGUGAGGAUUCAGAUACUGUGAUAAAAACAAUAUUACAAUUAAAAGAUGUACUUCCCCAACCACAAUGCAUCAAAAUACUUGGUGUACUUCUAAUGGGUAGUGACACAGAAAUAGCUGAUUAUAUAGGUACGUAUCUUGUACUACCCCAAUCACAAUGUAUCAAAAUACUUGGUGUACUUCUAAUGGGAAGUGACACAGAAAUAGCUGAUUAUAUAGAAUCCUAUUUAAGAAAAAUUAACAAGAACAAAGAAUCACGAGAUAAGGCUUUAGUUGUAUUUGCUGAAGGUUUAGAAGAUAAGACUUCUGAGAUCAGAGCAGGUUCUUGUAAAGCUCUACAGAUAUUAGAGGCUACAGAGAGUAUAGACAGAUUGGCCUAUAUUUGUCAGACUGAUAGGUCUACUACAGUCCAGGACCAAGCUAAGGCAGCCCUUACAUCAUUAGGUGACGAUGGGAGACAGGCUUUUGAUGAUACCCAACUUACAACCCAUGGAUUUCAAGGCAUUCAGGUUCAAAAGUAGCCCUACAUGCAUAGUUAACAAUAGCCAAAACUAUUGGUACACAACCCAUGGAUUUCAAGGCAUUCAGGUUCAAAAGUAGCUUUACAUACAUAGUUAACAAUAGCCAGAACUAUUGGUACACAACCCAUUGAUUUCAAGACAUUCAGGUUCAAAAGUAGCUUUACAUACAUAGUUAACAAUAGCCAGAACUAUUGGUACACAACCCAUUGAUUUCAAGACAUUCAGGUUCAAAAGUAGCUUUACAUACAUAGUUAACAAUUGCAGAAUUAGAGGUACACAACCCAUUGAUUUCAAGACAUUCAGGUUCAAAAGUAGCUUUACAUACAUAGUUAACAAUUGCAGAAUUAGAGGUACACAACCCAUUGAUUUCAAGACAUUCAGGUUCAAAAGUGGCUUUACAUACAUAGUUAACAAUUGCAGAAUUAGAGGUACACAACCCAUUGAUUUCAAGACAUUCAGGUUCAAAAGUAGCUUUACAUACAUAGUUAACAAUUGCAGAAUUAGAGGUACACAACCCAUUGAUUUCAAGACAUUCAGGUUCAAAAGUGGCUUUACAUACAUAGUUAACAAUUGCAGAAUUAGAGGUACACAACCCAUUGAUUUCAAGACAUUCAGGUUCAAAAGUAGCUUUACAUACAUAGUUAACAAUUGCAGAAUUAGAGGUACACAACCCAUGGAUUCAAGACAUUCAGGUUCAAAAGUAGCUCUACAGAUGUUGUAGGCAGUUACUUCAUGGAUAGAAUCCCUAAACUGACAGAAUUGAAUACUUCAAAGAAUGCAACCAUCUAUUUACAGAUUGAUUUACUGGAUUAUGUUAUUAUCAAAGUUGUGAACUAUGAGAUAUAAUUAUGUUUUAAAUAACACACAUAUUGUUUCAAAUUUGCAAUCUACAUAAAUGAAAUGAAUUCAAAAGUUGUUAAUUAUCAUAUAUACUUUAUAAGGCUUUCCUGGCCUUUAUGAUCAUAAAACUUUUUCUCUGUACUCAGAUCAGAAAAUUUGUGAAACGCCAAAUCUAGUAUAAAUUUGAUAGUUGAUUUCUGAGUUUGAGUAUGACAAUCUUACUUGAAAGUUUUAUGAAGGAUUCAUUUAUUGUUUUAAACCACUUCAUAAAAUGAUCAAGAAUUGAUAUUAAAUCAGUUUGAACUUUAGCUGCUUGUAUUGACAAGUACAAACAUUCAUUGGUAACAUUUAUAGAAUCACUCACCCAUGAGAUUACCAACACUCCAUUAAAAACUACCAUCUCAGAUUUUCACCAAAUUUUACCUCAUUUAAAAUCAUAGUUGUACUAAUUAACAACAGCUGUUUUCAUAUAAAAAAUAUUUAAGUUAUUAAAUUUUAUCGUAAGAUUUUUAUUGAAAAGGGUCACUGCUCUAUUCAUUUUCAACAUAGUAUUUAAGCUUUACCCUUCCAAAUAUUAGGAUUGCAAGUAGUAAAGCAUUAAUACUAUUUGUAAAACUUGUAUUUUUCGGCAGUUACUCAUUUUAACUUAAAAAAUGUUGAGUCAUAACUUUAAUAUGUUGAUCUGAUUAUUAAAAAUUGAACAAGCUAUUUGCAUAAUACCUCACUCACUGAAACUUUUGUAAUUGAAUAAGGUGCUUAAUAAAUACUCAUCAAAUUGUCAUUAACUUGCCAACAUUUUUGUAAUGAAAGACUUUGUAUGUUGUAGAGGUUUACUGAAACAGACCAGUAUAUUUAGAUUUUUUACCAAAACAGGCUCAUUUUCAUUUGAAUGUCAAAUAUUACUAAGUCCCAUCAACACCAUCCUUUAAUAAUUUGAAGGAAACUAGUGACUAUUUUUUUUGUGAUGAAACAUACAUCAGAGUUAUCUCUCCUUUAUAAAUAUAUACUAAUAUAUACCUUCAAGCUAUUUCUUAAAUUAAAAUUCUAAUUAUUAUGUAGCAUAUUUAGAAUUUUGGCAUUGUUUUCAUGUUUUAUAUGACUAUACCAAAUUGAUAGCAAGUGAGUUGCAAUGUAACAUGUAGUCAGGAGAAAACAUUCUGAAAAAUAAAAACUUUUUAAUUGUUUAAAAUACAUGAAUCUACAUUUCACAUUAAGCUAUAUCCUCAUGGGUAGUCAAGGCUGUUAAAACAACUCCCUCAUCAUCCAGCAACUAUCUCAAAGUCAUGUUAUUAAAACAACUCCCUCAUCAUCCAGCAACUAUCUCAAAGUCAUGUUGUUAAAACAACUCCCUCAUCAUCCAGCAACUAUCUCAAAGUCAUGUUGUUAAAACAACUCCCUCAUCAUCCAGCAACUAUCUCAAAGUCAUGUUGUUAAAACAACUCCCUCAUCAUUCAGCAACUUUUUCAAAGUCAUGUUAUUUAAACUUAUUCACCAGUAAGUUAUCUUCUUGCAAUGCAUGAUUUUGACAUAUACCCCAUGUAUCCUUUCAUUGGUGAGAGUUUGUGUUACGGCACCACACAUUUGCCUUUCAGAGUAUUUCUGUACUACUACAAGAAUCAUUUAAAAAAAUUAUGUUAUACACAAGUGAGGAGUAAAAUUAUGAUGUUGAGUUUCUGGAAAUCAAUCUACACAAGUGUUCACUACAAAAGAUGUUUGUUGAUAUUCAUUUUAUGUGCAAUAUAUAUUGAUUUUCAUGAUAUACUGUUGUAUAAACUUCACAAGUUUAAGAAACAUUUUAUUAUUGUUAUUUACAAACUUUAAAUUAGUUUUAGCAAAACAGAAUAAGUCAUUCAAGGAUUAUUGUUAGAAAGAACAGAGAAAAAUUCACAUUUCUCAGUUGAUAUUGUUAACUAUUAUAUAUUUUGUUUUAUUAUCUUGGAAAUUCAAAUAUAAUUAUUCUACACAGUAAAUUGCUGAUCGUAGUCUUGAAAUACUAUAAGGUGUAACUUUUAUGUACAUCAAAAGUUAAUAAAAAAAACAACCUAAUCAAAGACUUGAUGUACAAUUGAGAGUUGAAUGAUUGACCAGAGCCUAAAUCCUUUAUUUAGAUUAUAUCAUGAUGUUAAAUGAAGUUUUUAUUGUAGUUUUAUCUUUGGGUACAUAACUUCAGCAAAUGCUGCUGUAUUUUAUUAGUAAUUAUUCAUGUAAGGAAAAAUCUUUAAUUGACAAGGAUAUUGUUCCUGGUGGAUGCAUUUUCAAAAUUCAAUUAAAGAAAAUCAAAUUUGUAAUAAAAAAAACCCCCAUAGACACCAAAUUGACACUUUAGUCCUGGAGAACUUUGGAUGUACAUAGACCCCAAAUUGACACUUUAGUCCUUGAGAAAUUUGGAUGUACAUAAAGGGAUGUAUCUACUCGACACUGUAUUAAAUUAUUAGAUUCAUCUUUAUUUUGAAGUGCCUUCAGUUUUCAUAAGAAAUUUAUGCUUGUUUUUGGUCUAGUUCUUGGUCUAUUCCUUGUUUUUGUUAAAACCUGUUUAUGUAAAACAAAAUUUGUUGUAAAGCAAUUUGUUUUGAUGACUUGAUUGAGAUUAUGACAAAGUAAUUAAUUGUUAUUUUAUAAUUGAUUGAGAUUACGACACUGUAAUUAAUUGUAAUUUUAUAAUUGUAGUCUAGUCAAAUUGUUUAUAUAAAAGUUAUCUUAAUGGUUAUAUAUUAAAAUAUAUAUGAAAUGAAA